UCCAGGACUAUAGGAAGUCUUCUAGUAGAGGGAGAGUCAGGUCCAGGACUAUAGGAAGUCUUCUAGUAGAGAGGGAGUCAGGUCCAGGACUAUAGGAAGUCUUCUAGUAGAGAGAGAGUCAGGUCCAGGACCAUAGGAAGUCUUCUAGUAGAGAGAGAGUCAGGUCCAGGACUAUAGGAAGUCUUCUAGUAGAGAGAGAGUCAGGUCCUAUAGGAAGUCUUCUAGUAGAGGGAGAGUCAGGUCCAGGACUAUAGGAAGUCUUCUAGUAGAGAGAGAGUCAGGUCCAGGACUAUAGGAAGUCUUCUAGUAGAGAGAGAGUCAGGUCCAGGACUAUAGGAAGUCUUCUAGUAGAGAGAGAGUCAGGUCCAGGACUAUAGGAAGUCUUCUAGUAGAGAGAGAGUCAGGUCCAGGACUAUAGGAAGUCUUCUAGUAGAGAGGGAGUCAGGUCCUAUAGGAUGUCUUCUAGUAGAGAGAGAGUCAGGUCCAGGACUAUAGGAAGUCUUCUAGUAGAGAGGGAGUCAGGUCCAGGACUAUAGGAAGUCUUCUAGUAGAGAGGGAGUCAGGUCCAGGACUAUAGGAAGUCUUCUAGUAGAGAGAGAGUCAGGUCCAGGACUAUAGGAAGUCUUCUAGUAGUGAGAUGAAAAAGUUUAUUUAGUCUCAUUGUGACCAGCUUCUGUGGUUGGAGGUUAGUUGAACCUGGUAG